CCUACGGGAGGCUGCAGUGAGGAAUAUUGGUCAAUGGACGGAAGUCUGAACCAGCCAUGCCGCGUGCAGGAAGACGGCUCUAUGAGUUGUAAACUGCUUUUGUACAAGGGUAAACCUGAAUACGUGUAUUCUGCUGCAAGUACUGUACGAAUAAGGAUCGGCUAACUCCGUGCCAGCAGCCGCGGUAAUACGGAGGAUCCAAGCGUUAUUCGGAUUUAUUGGGUUUAAAGGGUGCGUAGGCGGAUUGAUAAGUUAGAGGUGAAAUGUCCGAGCUUAACUCGGGAACUGCCUCUAAUACUGUUGAGCUUGAGAGUAGAUGAGGUAGGCAGAAUGUAUGGUGUAGCGGUGAAAUGCUUAGAGAUCAGACAGAACACCGAUUGCGAAGGCAGCUUACCAAGCUAUAUCUGACGUUGAGGCACGAAAGCGUGGGGAGCAAACAGGAUUAGAUACCCCAGUAGUC
rnacentral:rRNA from 1 species